rnacentral:ncRNA from 1 species
UGAAUGACGAUGAAGAGGAUCAGUAGUCUGUGUCAAUGGCCCAGAGAAGAUAUCAGUGGUGUGAGAUAUCUCCAUAUGUACAGGUGAACCUGCCUUGGAGUUCUGUAUGAAAAUACAGCGCAUGUCCGGCGUUAGGGACAAUUGAGAGGAAGUUUUUAUUACAAUAAUAGAAAGACUUCAAAUAGGGUGGUACCGCCGAAUGAAUUUUGGUCCCUGUU